rnacentral:rRNA from 1 species
GAUGAACGCUGGCGGCGUGCCUAAUACAUGCAAGUCGAGCGAACAGACGAGGAGCUUGCUCCUCUGACGUUAGCGGCGGACGGGUGAGUAACACGUAGAUAACCUACCUAUAAGACUGGGAUAACUUCGGGAAACCGGAGCUAAUACCGGAUAAUAUAUUGAACCGCAUGGUUCAAUAGUGAAAGACGGUUUUGAUGUCACUUAUAGAUGGAUCCGCGCCGCAUUAGCUAGUUGGUAAGGUAACGGCUUACCAAGGCAACGAUGCGUAGCCGACCUGAGAGGGUGAUCGGCCACACUGGAACUGAGACACGGUCCAGACUCCUACGGGAGGCAGCAGUAGGGAAUCUUCCGCAAUGGGCGAAAGCCUGACGGAGCAACGCCGCGUGAGUGAUGAAGGUCUUCGGAUCGUAAAACUCUGUUAUUAGGGAAGAACAAAUGUGUAAGUAACUAUGCACGUCUUGACGGUACCUAAUCAGAAAGCCACGGCUAACUACGUG